GACGAACGCUGGCGGCGUGCUUAACACAUGCAAGUCGAACGGACAGGCCCUGCUUUUGUUGGGUGCUCGAGUGGCGAACGGGUGAGUAAAACGUGAGUAACCUGCACUUGUCUUUGGGAUAAAUUCAGGAAACUGGGGCUAAUACCGGAUAGGAGCUCCUGAUGCAUGGGGGGGAUUGGAAAGUUUCGGCGGUUGUGGAUGGUCUCGCGGGUUAUCCGCUUGUUGGUGGGGUAGUGGAUGACCAAGUCUUUGAAGGGUAGCCGGCCUGAGAGGUUGGACGGGGACAAGGGUACUAAGGUACGGACCAGACGGCUAUGUGAGGCAGUGGGGGGGAAUAUGACACAGUGAGCGGGAGCCUGAGACGACGACGCCGCGUUCGGAAUGCUGGCCUACUGGUUAUGAACCGCUUUCGCCUGUGACGAGGAGUGAGUGACGGUAAUUGGUAAAGAAGCACCGGCUAACUACGUG
rnacentral:rRNA from 1 species